rnacentral:rRNA from 1 species
CUUGGUGGCGAGUGCGGACGGGUGAGUAAUACAUCGGAACGGUAUCCUAAAGUGGGGGAUAACGCAUCGAAAGAUGUGCUAAUACCGCAUAUACUCUGAGGAGGAAAGUAGGGGAUCGAAAGACCUUAUGCUUUUGGAGCGGCCGAUGUCUGAUUAGCUAGUUGGUAAGGUAAUGGCUUACCAAGGCAACGAUCAGUAGUUGGUUUGAGAGGACGACCAGCCACCUGGGACUGAGACACGGCCCAGACUCCUACGGGAGGCAGCAGUGGGGAAUUUUGGACAAUGGGCGCAAGCCUGAUCCAGCAAUGCCGCGUGAGUGAAGAAGGCCUUCGGGUUGUAAAGCUCUUUCAGUUGAGAAGAAAAGAUUGUAACUAAUAAUUACAAUCCGGACGGUU